UACGGAGGGUGUAAGCGUUAUCCGGAUUCACUGGGUUUAAAGGGUGCGUAGGAGGGCAGGUAAGUCAGUGGUGAAAUCUCCAAGCUUAACUUGGAAACUGCCGUUGAUACUAUCUGUCUUGAAUACCGUGGAGGUGAGCGGAAUAUGUCAUGUAGCGGUGAAAUGCUUAGAUAUGACUUAGAACACCAAUUGCGAAGGCAGCUCGCUACACGAAUAUUGACUCUGAGGCACGAAAGCGUGGGGAUCAAACAGG
rnacentral:rRNA from 1 species